rnacentral:misc_RNA from 1 species
GCCGCGCCUUACUGGGCCUUUGACGGUACCUAUGAUGUGGGCCUAUGGCGGGUGGCCCGCUGUAAAAGUGGAUACCACCUCGACUGUUACAGAGAGGACCACGUGGAGUACUUCACUUCAGGUUAACUGGUUGAAGGUGGUCCGGGCCUUUGAGAGUCUUGGGGUGAUAUUUAUGGCACUGCCCCUGGUGAUUAUACCAGUGUACAUGUAUGUGUCCCUGGGACUGUACUACAGAUUCAUGAUGACCAGUAUGUGUGUGUCCUCUCUGAUAUCAGCCCUGAGCAUCAUCAUAGGUGUGUCUGUCUACUCGGUGAACAUCACCCUGAGUGACUGGGACGUCUCCUGGUGUCUGUUUGUCUGUAUUGUGGCCUUUGUUGCCACCCUUAUAGCCUUCCUCAUCCUUGUUGUGGCCGCUUGCAGCAAUUGUCCACCGGAACUUAAGCAGGUCAUUGUGCCAGACCCCACAACAAUCUACAUCCAUCCAACGAAACAACGAUUUGUAAUGAUUGCCGAUUAUUCCUAUCCAGCAUAACUACGUGUAGAAGUGACCAUGGUAACAGUGAUCAGACUAGUAAAUAAACUGGGUCCCUACCAUCUAUGUUCAAUAAAAUGAGGACCAGUCAAGACCCCACCAGUUAAUAGUGACAUAGGAUGAGGAUGCUGAUAUUUGAUAUUAAUUGUCUGUGCAAUAGUUUAGAGAAAAAGUAAAUACUUUUUUUAAGAGUAAACAAAAAUAAAACUAAGAGAAAUUCUAUCACACUCUGUGCCUAGAAGUGUGAUGAAAUGUGUAUAUUUUAAAGAAUAAGCUACAAAUCAACAUUUUAUUAAUAUAUUUAUUGACUAAACAUAAUAUAAAAUAGAAUAUGUUGUACAAAUAAAAAAUGAAUUUUAUGAGUGAAACAGUCUUUGAUAAGGAUAUAAUAGCCCAGUGGUGAGUUGCCUUGUUCUAAUACAGCUAUAACCAAAGUAUUACAUGUCUGCCAUCUGCUUCAGGAGAGCCUUGGGAACACUGCUGCUUAACACAUCACCAUUACAGUUCCAUAUCUUGUACUCAGCCGACAGAUACUCAUGUACUACAGAAUUACCAAAAUUAGAGAAUGGAGAUAUCUUUUGAGAAUAUGAGUCUUCAUCACUACAUAUUAUUUACAAUUAAUGUGACAUGAUCAAAAGGGUGAUCUAGACACAUCCUUAAAUUGUAAGAAUAUGGUCUCCUUAAUCAGUAAUCUUUAUGUAAAUGACGCAUUUUUAUAGUAUAAAUGCAAUAAACAAAAAGAUAACUGUUAUUAUUUAUAAGUUUUACUUCUUAGUGUAAAUAUCAAAAUCAGAAUUUCAGAAAUUGUGAACAAUAUGCAGCAUUUAAAACCAGAUUUUAGCAGAGUUUGAAAUUUUAUCAAAUUAGGCAAUAAAGUGUGAUUUUCG